GGCUUUUUUUUAUGUUUUGAAAACAUGUUACGGGUUUUGGCGAACUCAAAGGCUU
rnacentral:tRNA from 1 species